rnacentral:rRNA from 1 species
AGAGCGAACGCUGGCGGCAGGCCUAACACAUGCAAGUCGAGCGCCCCGCAAGGGGAGCGGCAGACGGGAGAGUAACACGUGGGAACGUACCCUUUGGUUCGGAACAACACAGGGAAACUUGUGCUAAUACCGGAUAAGCCCUUACGGGGAAAGAUUUAUCGCCAAAGGAUCGGCCCGCGUCUGAUUAGCUUGUUGGUGAGGUAACGGCUCACCAAGGCUACGAUCAGUAGCUGGUCUGAGAGGAUGAUCAGCCUCACUGGGACUGAGACACGGCCCAGACUCCUACGGGAGGCAGCAGUGGGGAAUAUUGGACAAUGGGCGCAAGCCUGAUCCAGCCAUGCCGCGUGGAUGAUGAAGGCCCUAGGGUUGUAAAGUCCUUUCGGACGGGAAGAUAAUGACGGUACCCGUAGAAGAAGCCCGGCUAACUCGUGCCAGCAGCCGC